UACGUAGGGUGCGAGCGUUGUCCGGAAUUACUGGGCGUAAGCGUGACGCAGGCGGCUUUGCAAGACAGAUGUGAAAUCCCCGGGCUCAACCUGGGAACUGCAUUUGUGACUGCAUGGCUGGAGUGCGGCAGAGGGGGAUGGAAUUCCGCGUGUAGCAGUGAAAUGCGUAGAUAUGCGGAGGAACACCAGUGGCGAAGGCGACUUUCUGGUCUGUAACUGACGCUGAGGCGCGAAAGCGUGGGGAGCAAACAGG
rnacentral:rRNA from 1 species